AUGUCGGCGCGCGGCCAUGGCCAUUCCAUCAGCGGGCAGGCGCAGGUGCCCGGCGGCGUGGUCGUGGACAUGAGCCGCGGGGGCAAGGCGCCGUCGCGCGCAUUGCCGGUGUACUCGCCGGAGCUGGGCGGGCACUACGUGGACGUGUGGGGCGGCGAGCUGUGGAUUGACGUGCUCAACUGGACGCUCUCGCACGGCGGGCUGGCGCCGCGGUCGUGGACGGACUACCUCUACCUGUCCGUGGGCGGCACCCUCUCCAACGCCGGCAUAAGCGGCCAGGCGUUCCACCACGGGCCCCAGAUCAGUAAUGUCUACGAGCUCGACGUCGUAACCGGUACGUACUACACACAUACAUACAUACAUGAGCCGAUCUAUCAGCCACCCCUUCCGACCUCGGCCGGCAUGCACACGCGCCGGCGUUCUCAUCUCAGGCGUGGCGGUGACCUGCUCGGAGGCGAAGAACCCGUAGCUCUUCUUCGGUGCGCUGGGCGGGCUGUGGCAGUUGGGAUCAUCAUGCACGCUCGCAUCGCCCUCGAGCCUGCUCCCCACAAGGUAGCACCACCACCCAUGCCGGCGCCCUAUGCGCCGUCCUCACCUCCCCAUACGCACGCAUCAAUCCGUUCAUUCGUUAACCCACCUAGUCUGUAA
rnacentral:rRNA from 1 species